CGUCAUAUAUAUCUCGAUCUUUGUCUGGCAGCUAUGACAAUGAAGCUGUAGCUAUAUUUGCUUGAUCUUUACUUUUUACCUCUAUAUAAAGGUUUUCUCCACGACAGUUGACAACCAAACUCAGGUGAGGAUCAAGGUACUACAGGGCGAGCGUGGAAUGGCUGAUGACAACAAGCUUCUUGGAGAGUUUGAGCUGUUGGCAUUCCACCUUUUCAUAUAGCCUAGAAGCAAAGUUUUCUUUUUAAUCGAAAGUAGUUUCAUUGUGUAAUACUCUUUGUAUAUAUGUGUAUGUGAUUGGGGUAAAUGUUUUGUAUUAGUACCUAGACUGGUCUUUUGUAUUAAGAAAAGUUCUAGCUAGUGAAUUUUUUUACUUGUGGCAUCUCAACAGAAUAUUGUCAAAAGUCCUACUAUCAAAUUCAAGUACACGAUAUAUUGUCAAAAUUACAAUUUAGGUUUUGCUUUGGAAAUACAUUGAAUAUGGGUAGGCAUUACUGUGUUUGAAAUGUAUCCAACAAGUGAGUUGUGCUUCA